UAAGGCUAAUGAAGGCUGGUUUUGCUUCUUCUUCCUGCCUCAUGAGUCAUUUACAGAUAUUUCUGUCAGGCUAACCUCAACUGUCUCUCAUACACAACGGCAGCUUUCCUACUGAUCAAUUAGUCCAGGCACAUUGACACAAGCCCCUGGAUUUUGCAACGUGAUGGCGGUGUUUGACAACUACCAUUCUGCUUUAGCUUUCCUCCAGAAUACCUGCCUUGCAUUGGCCCUGGGUAAAUGUUUCCCUUGGCUGUGAAUAGGCAAUUAAAAUUCUGAACCUUUUAUGGCUCUGGAAGCUUAUCCGAUGAAACAAUACUCAUCCAGGCGGAUGGCCCACCAGCGCAAAGGGCUGAGGCCGCUGUAAGCCAAGGUACGCAACGCUUGCUAAACAGGAAUCCCUGGAAUGAAUCCAUGCAUGAGGCCUUUGUGCCAUGUGACAGUUGAAGGCUGUGGUGACCCCGGAACCGUCCCACUCCGAGACGCCUUAACACCGUUUUUCUGCUGUUACAAACCACAGAGCAACGCGUGUGCCUCCUCCCGCCCUGGGGACUCUUUCUGUGGGAGAGGUGCCUGGAUUUAGAGGAGCGACCACUCUUCAUUUGUAGGUACUCUCCCUAGCCUGGGAGCCCUUCAGCUCCCACUCCAGAGUGGUUGUUGGUGGUAAUACGCCAGGCCUGGGGAAGCAGGAGUGGGAAGGUGUGAGAGGUGGGGGAGUGUGGUUGUCAACUGUUCUGAUUUUCCACCAGGAUCUUGGUCACUUUCCCAGUUGUCACUCGGCCCACAAACUAGGAUGUGAGCAGCAUAUUAAGAAUCUGCAGAGAUGUUCCCGUCUGCCCGGCAUAUGGAUGUCCUUCUGGGCUGCAAAGUGGCAUCCUGUGGGCAACUCCCCCCACAACAACCAGCUGUGAGCUGUGCCCAGGCACAGAGGGACCUGGCUUUCCCUGUUUCUGCAGAUGGAGCCCAGGGUUUCAGGGAGGGAGGGGGCAGGCUGGGACCUGUUGGGGAUCUGGGCACUUUCUCAUGCUCCUUGAGCUGCAAGUCAUAGAAGGAGUGGGGUGGGAGCUGGGAAUGUACCUUCCCAAGGCCACUGGCAGAACCAGCAGGCCCUUUGCUCUGGGAUGAGCUCCCUCUGAGGGGUGGGGACAGUAAAGCGGACCGAAGUCCCUGUUCUGCGGGAUGGAAACUGGCUCCCCUCCAUUGUACAGGCCAGCUCUGGGGAUUUGGGCAGCAGAUUUGGGGUUGACAGCAGAAUGACAUGAUCACCAGUUGACCUUGGCCAGGAUGCCAGCUUACUUUCUCGCUUACUUCUGCAGGUUCUUUGUUCUGCGG
rnacentral:lncRNA from 1 species